rnacentral:rRNA from 1 species
CCUACGGGAGGCAGCAGUGGGGAAUUUUGGACAAUGGGCGAAAGCCUGAUCCAGCAAUGCCGCGUGAGUGAAGAAGGCCUUCGGGUUGUAAAGCUCUUUUGUCAGGGAAGAAACGGUGAGGGCUAAUAUCUCUUGCUAAUGACGGUACCUGAAGAAUAAGCACCGGCUAACUACGUGCCAGCAGCCGCGGUAAUACGUAGGGUGCAAGCGUUAAUCGGAAUUACUGGGCGUAAAGCGUGCGCAGGCGGUUUUGUAAGUCUGUCGUGAAAUCCCCGGGCUCAACCUGGGAAUUGCGAUGGAGACUGCAAGGCUAGAAUCUGGCAGAGGGGGGUAGAAUUCCACGUGUAGCAGUGAAAUGCGUAGAGAUGUGGAGGAACACCGAUGGCGAAGGCAGCCCCCUGGGUCAAGAUUGACGCUCAUGCACGAAAGCGUGGGGAGCAAACAGGAUUAGAUACCCUGGUAGUCCACGCCCUAAACGAUGUCUACUAGUUGUCGGGUUUUAAUUAACUUGGUAACGCAGCUAACGCGUGAAGUAGACCGCCUGGGGGAGGUACGGUCGCGAGAUUAAACUUACUAAUUAGUUAAGUUAGACGGCGUUGAGACGNGCCGACGGACGACGACGAGGGAGGAGG